rnacentral:rRNA from 1 species
UGGGGGAUAUUGCGCAAUGGGGGCAACCCUGACGCAGCAACGCCGCGUGAAGGAUGAAGGUUUUCGGAUUGUAAACUUCUUUUCUUAAGGACGAAAUUUGACGGUACUUAAGGAAUAAGCUCCGGCUAACUACGUGCCAGCAGCCGCGGUAAUACGUAGGGAGCAAGCGUUGUCCGGAUUUACUGGGUGUAAAGGGUGCGUAGGCGGCAAUGCAAGUCAGAUGUGAAAUCUAUGGGCUCAACCCAUAAACUGCAUUUGAAACUGCGUUGCUUGAGUGAAGUAGAGGCAGGCGGAAUUCCCCGUGUAGCGGUGAAAUGCGUAGAGAUGGGGAGGAACACCAGUGGCGAAGGCGGCCUGCUGGGCUUUAACUGACGCUGAGGCACGAAAGCGUGGGUAGCAAACAGG